GAUGAACGCUGGCGGCGUGCCUAAUACAUGCAAGUCGAGCGAACAGACGAGGAGCUUGCUCCUCUGACGUUAGCGGCGGACGGGUGAGUAACACGUGGAUAACCUACCUAUAAGACUGGGAUAACUUCGGGAAACCGGAGCUAAUACCGGAUAAUAUAUUGAACCGCAUGGUUCAAUAGUGAAAGACGGUUUUGCUGUCACUUAUAGAUGGAUCCGCGCCGCAUUAGCUAGUUGGUAAGGUAACGGCUUACCAAGGCAACUAUGCGUAGCCGACCUGAGAGGGGGAUCGGCCACACUGGAACUGAGACACGGUCCAGACUCCUACGGGAGGCAGCAGUAGGGAAUCUUCCGCAAUGGGCGAAAGCCUGACGGAGCAACGCCGCGUGAGUGAUGAAGGUCUUCGGAUCGUAAAACUCUGUUAUUAGGGAAGAACAAAUGUGUAAGUAACUAUGCACGUCUUGACGGUACCUAAUCAGAAAGCCACGGCUAACUACGUG
rnacentral:rRNA from 1 species